UGGGUAGGGGAGCUUCCCAUACGGGUUGAAGCAUGACCGUAAGGACAUGUGGACAGUAUGGGAGUGAGAAUGUUGGCAUGAGUAGCGAGAUGUGGGUGGGAAUCCCACAGGCCGUAAACCCAAGGUUGCCAGGGGAAGGUUCGUCCGCCCUGGGUUAGUCGGGACCUAAGCUGAGGCCGAAAGGCGUAGGUGAUGGACAACAGGUUGAUAUUCCUGUACUACCGAU
rnacentral:rRNA from 1 species